UCCCAGACUUCAGCGCCUAACCGGGUCCACGCAGGAGUAGUGACGACGCCUACAUCUCCCUCCCGCACCUAAGGACCCAGAGAGGCCGACUCCAUCACCGAGGAAGCCUUGACCUCCCCCUCCCCCUCCGGUCCCACUACUGAGAGCUUCCCAGGCCCAAGCCUGCCGUGCCCCGCGGCCGUGUGCUCCACGCCAUAUGCCACCAGGGCUUCGGCGUCCAGCCACUGCUUCCCCUUACUCCUGCCACAAAGCCUGCGGCCAACUCCGAAAGCUCGGGACCUUGAAAGGAUGCUGAACAUUCCUCAUCAGAAACCUGAGGAGGACACUGAAAAGACAGCCACAAUUUUCCUUCUGCUUGCUGCCAAGUUUCUUGAGGGCUCAGCUGUUGGGAACUUGACUGCUAUCUUGGAGCAAGUGGAGUUCUCAGCCUCAAACUUGGGCAUUUGACCAACUUACUCAUCAACCUCAGGCAACAUUAGAACACGGCAACCUCCCCCACAUGCAGAAAGAUGCCUUUCUGUGGGUAUUCCUGAAGAAAAGGAAAGGAAGCAAGAGCUAGGCCAUGCAUGACUUCUUCUCCUAAACUCACCAACCAGGGACCAAAUGUCAAACCAACGGUGGGAAUAUGAGUCUGCCUUGUUUAGAAAGGAAUCUUGACCCAGAGGCCUUCCUGCAAUCGAUAAGGUGUACUUGGCAAAAAGAGUUCCGGGGUUCCCCUGGGUAGAGAGGCUGAAGGGAAUCAUAGGUGGCUCAUUUGAGAAGAGGACCGCCUGAGACAAAGGAGUUCCAGAUGGAAGAGUCCAGCAGGGGAGCAUCUGAGGAGGGUAUGGAUGCUCCCAUGAGAGAAACCUCCAUUAAGGGAAACUACACCAGCUUAUACCUGCCAGUCAAAUAAGGCCCUCCCUCUUCUUACCAUUCGGUUCCUCUACUCCCAUCCUGGAGGGUCCAUUAGAAGUCAAGUGGUGGAGGAACAGAGCAGGGGGUCAGGGAGAAGUAGCAUUAACAGGGAAAUAGAGAUGAACAGCACAUUCCCCACUGCAGGCUCUUGGGCGAUGAAGUGACCAGAGGACAUUUUGUUAUCUGAGAUGAUCACAGUCAGAAGACCUUCCUAAUGUUUCAUCUGAAGGACGGAGAAGAGUAGGUGCAAAAGAGAGGCUUCAAAUGGGCAUUUGAGGGUGAAGAAUAAAAUUGUUUCUCUUUGCAGCCUGUGAGUCCAGUUUGCUCAGUGAGACCUUUCAAUUUAUAUCACUGAAGUAAUCUCAGAGGCCAUGGCAGUAUAACACUUCUGGUGGACGUACUGUCUUAUUCUUUGCAAAGUUAUGCUUUGCACUUAUGCUUCUCUGUCUUCCUUGAUCCCUGAACUUCACACCUGCCCCUUAUUCUCAGAUGAUCUUGCCUUACUCUGUGCAGAGAAGAGAGAAUCCGUCAGGUGGGAGGAAAUUCUCUCCAUUUCUUCUGCAUCACUAAAUGGAGCUAAACUGCAGUUAGAGUGUUAAUUGUUAACUGACACAUAUAUUGUAAAUAUAUAAAGGAUGGUUCCACUAUUUAACAAUAGUGUAUUCUCUUAAGCAGAUGGACUGUUUCCUCCAUAAUCUUACUCUCAAUAUCAACUUGCCUAUCUUCUCAUUUUCGUAUAAUGUAAAAAUAAACUUUUAGCUCAAUUUGAAAUUUGAAAACUUUUUCCAUUUAUAUUAAAAUACGCGAGAAGAUCUAAAAGUCAAGUUUUAAUUUAUUUGUAUUGCAUUCUGCAAAAUAUGUCCACAAGAUUACCAUUUGUAUGGUAAGUAUUUUGCAAUAUUUGAAAUAGGGCAUUUCAUGCCUUUGCCUUCACCCUCAGAGAGCUUUUCCAGUCUCAAUUCUCUUAUU